CAGGUUUCAGUAUGCAAAUGUGCUCUUCCCUGCUUUCCGAUAUGGAAACCUUUAAAGCAGCAAAUCCAAAAGGAAAAAUGGGGGACUUUAUACGUUGGUACAGUCCCAAGGAUUGGGAGGAAGAUGAUCAACUUGGAGUGGGAAGGCUGAGCGCUCGCAUGCAGGCUCCUGGUAAUAUCUGGCAAACAGUCUAGCAACAGGCGCAACCAGUACCGGCUAGCAAGCAGAGUUGCCGUCGGUUUUCCUGAGACCCGUACUUGUUUGCUAAAUCAAAAGUUGCAAAUGCUGAGCUACUGUAUUGAGCGUUCAAAGUUUCGAAAAUAUGGCAACAUGGAGGAAUCUAAAAGUGAACCUGAUUCCAACA